rnacentral:RNase_MRP_RNA from 1 species
AAGUUCUUUGGGUUAGCACCGCGGAGCUACAAUCGAGUUCCUAGUAACUCUUAGCUCUGAGGAAGGUCCCUGGACACGUGGCAGAAAGUGCCGUGGCUUAAACACCAUCAGCCUCCGCCAUCUCACGUGAAGAAGGGAAGCUCCGGCUGAUCUUACGUGUGCAGGUGUGAGAGUAUUGGUCAGAGCUAAAGUAAUGUGUGUAAAAAUGGCCAUUACCCGACAUUGAACCAAACAGGGCCUAUCAAACCAGGAAACU